GAUGAACGCUAGCUACAGGCUUAACACAUGCAAGUCGCGGGGCAGCAUGGGGGUUGCUUGCAAUCCCCGAUGGCGACCGGCGCACGGGUGAGUAACGCGUAUCCAACCUGCCCUUCACCACGGGAUAACCCGGCGAAAGUCGGACUAAUACCGUAUGUUGUCCAUUGACGGCAUCCGAUUUGGACGAAAGGUUUGGCGGUGAAGGAUGGGGAUGCGUCCGAUUAGCUGGACGGCGGGGUGACGGCCCACCGUGGCGACGAUCGGUAGGGGUUCUGAGAGGAAGGUCCCCCACACUGGAACUGAGACACGGUCCAGACUCCUACGGGAGGCAGCAGUGAGGAAUAUUGGUUAAUGGGCGUAAGCCUGAACCAGCCAAGUAGCGUGCAGGAUGACGGCCCUAUGGGUUGUAAACUGCUUUUAUGCGGGGAUAAAGUGGCCCACGUGUGGGUUUUUGCAGGUACCGCAUGAAUAAGGACCGGCUAAUUCCGUG
rnacentral:rRNA from 1 species